rnacentral:rRNA from 1 species
CGCCUGUUUAACAAAAACAUCUCCUAAUUUAUAUUAGGUAGAACCUGCUCACUGAAUCUUUUAAAAGCCGCAGUAUCCUAACUGUGCUAAGGUAGCAUAAUCAUUUGUUAUCUAAAUGAUAACUAGUAUGAAUGGUCUGACGAGAAAACAACUUUCUAAAAAGAAAAGAUGAAAAUUUAUUUUAAAGUAAAAAAGCUUUACAACUUUAGAAAGACGAGAAGACCCUAGAACCUAUUCUAUCUAUAUAGUUUGUUGGGGUGACAUUAUUCAAUAACAAAUAACUAUUAAAACUUAUUGACUGACUACAUCUAUCUUUUAUUAAAAAAAAAAAGGUACUCUAGGGAUAACAGCAUAAUCUUCUUCUAGAGCCCUAAUCGACAAGAAAGAUUUUGACCUCGAUGUUGAAUUGAUAUUUCUUUCUAAAGCAAAUUUUUUAAAGAGGGUCUGUUCGACCUCUAACUUAUCACGUGAUCUGAGUUCAAACCGG